AUGAACGCUGGCGGCGUGCCUAAUACAUGCAAGUCGAGCGAACGGACGAGAAGCUUGCUUCUCUGAUGUUAGCGGCGGACGGGUGAGUAACACGUGGAUAACCUACCUAUAAGACUGGGAUAACUUCGGGAAACCGGAGCUAAUACCGGAUAAUAUUUUGAACCGCAUGGUUCAAAAGUGAAAGACGGUCUUGCUGUCACUUAUAGAUGGAUCCGCGCUGCAUUAGCUAGUUGGUAAGGUAACGGCUUACCAAGGCAACGAUGCAUAGCCGACCUGAGAGGGUGAUCGGCCACACUGGAACUGAGACACGGUCCAGACUCCUACGGGAGGCAGCAGUGGGGAAUCUUCCGCAAUGGGCGAAAGCCUGACGGAGCAACGCCGCGUGAGUGAUGAAGGUCUUCGGAUCGUAAAACUCUGUUAUUAGGGAAGAACAUAUGUGUAAGUAACUGUGCACAUCUUGACGGUACCUAAUCAGAAAGCCACGGCUAACUACGUG
rnacentral:rRNA from 1 species